UGGAUGCCUUGGCAGUCAGAGGCGAUGAAAGACGUAGUAACUUGCGAUAAGCCCAGAUUAGGUAGUAACAACCAUUUGAGUCUGGGAUUUCUGAAUGGGGAAACCCACUUAUAUAAGUAAGUAUCAUUAACUGAAUACAUAGGUUAAUGAGGCGAACCGGGGGAACUGAAACAUCUAAGUACCCCGAGGAAAAGAAAUCAACCGAGAUUCCGAAAGUAGCGGC
rnacentral:rRNA from 1 species